CAGAAAGCAAAAUGGCGAACAAAUACCGGAAGUGACAAAUGGACGUUUCAUCACUUCCGGGAAUCAGUACAGCAAGCACAAUCAGCUGUGAACAGGACGCCAGAGACAGCAACGGACUGAUUGGUUAAUUAGAAUUGUAACCGACGAAUGAGGUAUCAGACCUGAGCUUUAAAAGGAUGGAGGUAACAAUAAGGAGAUGAACUUCGAUUGAAAAAUCCAGAGGAAAGG